rnacentral:rRNA from 1 species
AUCAACUUUCGAUUGGUAGGAUAGAGGCCUACCAUGGUGGUAACGGGGUAACGGGGUGUUAGGGCACGACACCGGAGAGGGAGCCUGAGAAACGGCUACCACAUCCAAGGAUGGCAGCAGGCGCGCAAAUUACCCAAUCCCGACACGGGGAGGUAGUGACAAUAAAUAACAAUACGGGGUUCUUUCGGAUUUCGUAAUUGGAAUGAGUACAAUUUAAAUCUCUUAACGAGGAACAAUUGGAGGGCAAGUCUGGUGCCAGCAGCCGCGGUAAUUCCAGCUCCAAUAGCGUAUAUUAAAGUUGCUGCAGUUAAAAAGCUCGUAGUUGAAUUUCGGGACCAAUAUGUCGGUCGUGCCUCGGUACGUACUGGCAUCGUUGGUUUCUCCCUUCUGAAGAACCAUGAUGUCAUUUAUUUGGUGUCGUGGGGAAUCAGGACUGUUACUUUGAAAAAAUUAGAGUGUUUAAAGCAGGCUCACGCUUGAAUACAUUAGCAUGGAAUAAUGAAAUAGGACGUUUGAUUCUAUUUUGUUGGUUUCUAGGAUCGACGUAAUGAUUAAUAGGGAUAGUUGGGGGCAUUAGUAUUCAAUUGUCAGAGGUGAAAUUCUUGGAUUUAUUGAAGACUAACUACUGCGAAAGCAUUUGCCAAGGAUGUUUUCAUUAAUCAAGAACGAAAGUUAGGGGAUCGAAGACGAUCAGAUACCGUCGUAGUCUUAACCAUAAACUAUGCCGACUAGGGAUCGGAUGAUGUUAAUUUUUUAAUGACUCAUUCGGCGCCUUACGGGAAACCAAAGUGUUUGGGUUC